rnacentral:rRNA from 1 species
UACGAGUGCCCUAAGCGUUAUCCGGAAUCAUUGGGCGUAAAGGGCGCGUAGGCGGUUCGUUAAGUCCUGUGUGAAAUCCCCCGGCUCAACUGGGGAACUGCACAGGAAACUAGCGGGCUUGAGUUCGGGAGAGGGAAGCGGAAUUCCGGGUGUAGCGGUGAAAUGCGUAGAUAUCCGGAGGAACACCGGUGGCGAAGGCGGCUUCCUGGACCGACACUGACGGCUGAGGCGCGAAAGCUAGGGGAGCAAACGGG